GGACUUGAUGGGAUAUCUGCUUUAGAGGCUUUCAAGUUGUGAAAUUGGCUACAAACAUAAGCUUUAUGAAGUAAUCCCUUAAAUAAACUGUGCCUACGUGUAAGUCUACUGCUUGCGGUGCAUACAAGACUAGUACAACUAUUAGGAGGCCGGGGCAGAGGAAGAUAGAGCAAGGCGCCGGAAGCCCUUCUAACCCUCUCAAAUUUACAACUGCAUUUAUAUAGUAGAAAAUCAAUAGUUUUUUUUUUUUAUAGAUUUCUUGGCCUCUCAAAAUAAAAUUAUAAAAUUGAAAUAUUAAUGUAACACAUAUUACACAUUAUUAUUUAAGUAUAUUCAACUCAACUAAGCUUUAUUUCAAAAAUUUGGAGUCAGCUAUAUGAAUUCUCUUUUUCCACUCUAACCAAUUUUGAGUUAAAAUCUCGGAAAUGUGUAAUGUUUGUAGGUCAUGUUGUACUACUCCUCUUUAAGUCAAUUUAGGUCUGCCUUUUUCUUUU